rnacentral:rRNA from 1 species
UGGGGAAUUUUGGACAAUGGGGGAAACCCUGAUCCAGCCAUCCCGCGUGUGCGAUGAAGGCCUUCGGGUUGUAAAGCACUUUUGGCAGGAAAGAAACGUCGCGGGUUAAUACCCGCGGAACUGACGGUACCUGCAGAAUAAGCACCGGCUAACUACGUGCCAGCAGCCGCGGUAAUACGUAGGGUGCAAGCGUUAAUCGGAAUUACUGGGCGUAAAGCGUGCGCAGGCGGUUCGGAAAGAAAGAUGUGAAAUCCCAGAGCUUAACUUUGGAACUGCAUUUUUAACUACCGGGCUAGAGUGUGUCAGAGGGAGGUGGAAUUCCGCGUGUAGCAGUGAAAUGCGUAGAUAUGCGGAGGAACACCGAUGGCGAAGGCAGCCUCCUGGGAUAACACUGACGCUCAUGCACGAAAGCGUGGGGAGCAAACAGGAUUAGAUACCCUGGUAGUCCACGCCCUAAACGAUGUCAACUAGCUGUUGGGGUCUUCGGACCUUGGUAGCGCAGCUAACGCGUGAAGUUGACCGCCUGGGGAGUACGGUCGCAAGAUU